AUUUUCUCUCAUGAGGAAAGAAAUGUAUGGAUGGCUCAUUGUGAAUGAAAAAGAAACCAGAAAGACGAUUCUGGCAAGUGAUCCAUUCACUGCUAUCCCAAUUGAUGACAGAGAUUUCCUGCCACUACUUCCUCUUGUACUGAGUGCCUUUUGCCCAAUAUGGAACUGCUGGAAUCCAUGGGAUGUCAGGAACAGUAGACACUCUAGUAUUCGUCUGGUGACAAGAAAUGGCUAGAGAGUUGAUAAAAUGAAGAGAUAUUCCUUUACUGGAGACAUUUUCUCUUCUUUAAAGAAGAGGACUGCAAACCUUUCCCGCAGUACACCCUGGCUCACUUCCUGCCCUUGGAAAAGGUUGUUUCAAUACCUGUGAACAUGUGCAUUACAAGAGACACACUUAGACUUGCUCCUUCCUGUAUCGAAAACUGAGCUCUGAAUAUUUCUCUGGGAACCUCAAGCAUGGAAAAUUAGCGCAUUGAACAGAGAAUGCUUUCCUACCCCUGAAAGAAAAACAGAAUUGACUGAGGCAGCACCACGGUUACAGGCUGAGGACCAGAUCCAUAUGGUUCAGAAGUGAAAGAGAGAAAUGAAACCAAAGCCUCCUACUGCAAAUUUCGUCCUACCUCUCUUCUCCUUUUCCUGUACCAAACUGUAUUGUCUUAAUCUGAGAAUGUGAUUUAUUUGUGAAAUAUCUAGUGGGUGGCAGAGGUGGGGAGCAAAGCUGCACAAAGCUCCCCAGAGCUGCUGACCGAGGUAAAUAGUGUGUCAUAACACAUUUAUCAAAUAAUAAUGGAAACCGUAUAGAACAUGUAGGAGAGGGAGGGGGAAACCCCAUUCCCCACUGGGAAGUUACUGAAUAUUUUAGCCAGUUUAUAAAAGUAUGUGUACAUGUGUUUGGGAGGGGGGAGGUUUUUCUAGUUUCACCUCUGCAAAUAAAUCAUUGGCGUGGGAUGUCUGAGCAGACAAGUGAAAUGGAUGAGCGCAUUAUGGAUCAAGGAGGUGGUAUUCCUGCCUUGGUUAGCUUGAGACAGACCACCCAAGCACUGUGGGUCUGAGAUGAGACUGUAAGUAGUGCUUGUAGAGUUCUGAAAGGCCCAUACUGCAGCCUCUGACAUGGUAUAAAGGUGGGGAAUAAAAUAAAAGUGGUGGUAUUUUCCAUAUAGCAGGCAUGACUUGUCUGAAUUGAUGAUGUUCCUAAUGUUUUUUUUCCUUUGGCUGGAUUGCUGCUAUAGAUAAAAUGAAAAAGAGAUAAUAUGACAAAGGUGUAAUAGUUAUGCCUAAAAUAAAGUUAAGGUUAAAAAAAAUGAAAAAAGAAAAAUUUAAUUAUUAUGUAUUUGUACAGUAUUCACUGUUUGCCACUAGGGACUUUCAGAAUACAGAAGCCAUAGUCAGAUGCUCUCACUGAAAUUAAGAAUCUUGCAUCAUAAUUGGUCUAUCAACAAUUACUUAUGGAAAAAGACCCCCCUUCCAUGUAAACAGGGCUAACAUGGAUGAGUAUUACCGAAAAAUACCCAGGUUAAAAGGAGCCUGGCAAAGACAGUAUCCUUAUAAAUAUAUAUGUAUAGUUAAAAAUUUGGAAUUUUUGCAAGGAAGACAUAGUUUUGAGUUUUGGAACAAUCGUCUUUAACAGGGAAACAUCUUGGAGUGCAACUGAACAUCUUUUUAUAUUUAUACAUGGCAAUCCUGAUUGAAGGCUCAUCAGUCAACAUACAGUAAUGAAUUAGAUGAAUUUUGGGUUGUAAGGAAGCAAAAUAGGAAACAUAGAAAGUUAUUCCUGGAAAAUGAUCCUCUUUUUAUUUUUCUAA